rnacentral:rRNA from 1 species
AUACGGGGGGUGCAAGCGUUAUUCGGAUUUAUUGGGCGUAAAGGGCGCGUAGGCGGCCUGGUAAGUCAGAUGUGAAAGCCCGGGGCUCAUCCCCGGAAGUGCAUUUGAAACUAUCAGGCUUGAGUAUGGGAGAGGGAAGUGGAAUUCCUGGUGUAGAGGUGAAAUUCGUAGAUAUCAGGAGGAACACCGGUGGCGAAGGCGACUUCCUGGACCAAUACUGACGCUGAGGCGCGAAGGCGUGGGGAGCAAACAGGAUUAGAAACCCUAGUAGUCC